UGAACAACUAGGUGUCUAGCAGAUCU
rnacentral:piRNA from 1 species